GAGUCAUUUUCUACUCUGAUGUUCAGGGUUAGAGAAAUAUUUUUUGAGCCUACUGGUCAGGACAAGUAGCACCAAUUUUGUUACUGGUUCUCCUGGUUCAAGGUAGAGGCCCCAGGUAUGUGGAAGCUCAGAGCCUCCAGCGGCG